UUUUUGCAGGUUUCAUUUUCUUGAUACUUCCGAAUAAGACCCUUACUUCACUAGUUACAAGAAGGCUCCAUUAUGUGGUCCUCAGACCACUGGGACAUGCUGAGCUAUAGUCAAACUUUCCUUAAUGAAUGUUUCUCCUCGUAAAUUUCCUUGGAUGAAAUUUUUAACCAGUAUGGAUUCUGUGAUGAAUUUUAAGGUACACAUAACUGAGUGCUUAUCACACAUACCCCCACCUUUUUUUGAAGUUUUCUUUUUAGUUGUAGAUGAACUUAAUUUUUUUACUUUUAUUUAUUUUUAUGUGGUGAUGAGGAUAGAACUUGGUGCCACACAAAUACUAGGUGAUCACUGAACUCACUGAACUACAAAUCCAGCCCAGACAUCCCCCAUCUCUACGGUUUCUAAUAGGACUAGUUGUGAAGACCAACUAAAGCCAUGCAUCACAUGUCCAAGGUAAUUUGGCAGGGAGGGGGUGCUCUGAUGCAGUUGAAAACUGAGACUGUGAGACUGACUGAAAGAAUUACAGCAUUCUCCACAUCUGCAUGGGUUAUCUCCUGUGUGGACCUUCAAACACAGGUCAAGAUUUGAGCUCCAAUGUAAUCCUACCCAAAGUCCUUGAUUUGUAAGCCAUUUCUCCAUUGUGCAUUUUCACAUAUGAACUGUGUCCAAAGCUCUUCCAAAACUCUUUGCAAAUGAAGGGUUCUACUCCACCGUGGUGUCUCUGAUGGCUCAAGUGACUUGAUGCUCAGCUGAAGCUAUCCCCACUCCUCACACUUUCGUGGCUUUCCCCCAGUGUGGACUCUCCCAUGGGUAUAAAGUUGUGAAUUCUGAGUAAAGCUCUUCCCACACUUUUCACACUUGAAUGGUUUUUCUCAGCUGUGGAGUCUCUGAUGUUUCAAAAGAUCGGAGGCCCAGCCAAAGCUCUUCCCACAUUCCUUACAAGUAUAUGAUCUUUCUCCCGUGUGGACCCUCCUAUGGGAAUAAAGUUGUGAAUUCUGAUAAAAUUCUUCCCACACUCCUCAAUCUGUAUGGCUUUUCUCCACUGUGCACCCUCUGAUGGGAAUGAAGUUCAAUCAUGGCCUCCCUCUGCUCAAAUAGGCACCAGAAUGAACGGGUCUGCAAGGACCCCAAACAAGAGCCAGAACACCGGCAGCUGGAACUCUCUAGCCUCAACCCAGGGCCUCCCGCCAUUCAGCGGGAACUAAAUGGUAACAAGAAAAGCCACGAUUCACUAGAUGCUCGUAACUGUUUUAAGUCUUUGCUCUGAAGGCCCUCUUGCAAUUCCAAACCAUGCGAUUAGGAUGGUACAUUUAAAAUAACGACAAUGACCCUCCCUCCCCCCUCAAUCGAGUAAGUCCCCAAAGUGGACCACCCGAGGAAGUGGCCGCACGGGAGCGGUGGAGAGGGGCUGAUUAGGCGAGCCGAGAGCCCCGGAAACCCUCAAACCAGGUGGCAAACGCCCUGACCAGGUCACGAACCCGGGGACUCCACUACAGAGUCUCCAACGCGAGCAGGUUCCGCGGGGAAAACCGAAACUUCGUUCGUCACCGCUCCAAACCCCUGCUCUCCGCGGAGGCUUCCUUUCCCCUAAGCUGAAGGCAGGUCAUUGAGGGUGCCGGUGGGGUGGGGGCCAGGAAAUUCGGAAGAGCGCUCAAGACCCAAGAAACUGAUUUCAAUCACCAUGAGAAACAAACAAACUACAACAGCAACUUCCGGC
ensembl:lincRNA